GGUUCUUGGUCGAGUGGUCAAGACGCCCGAGUGGCACCCUGCAGACCCAGGUUCGAUACCUGGUGGGACGA